rnacentral:rRNA from 1 species
UAAGGAAUAUUGGUCAAUGGACGAAGUCUGAACCAGCCAUGCCGCGUGGAGGAUGAAGGUCCUCUGGAUUGUAAACUUCUUUUAUCUGGGACGAAAAAAGGUCUUUCUAGAUCGUCUGACGGUACCAGAUGAAUAAGCACCGGCUAACUCCGUGCCAGCAGCCGCGGUAAUACGGAGGGUGCAAGCGUUAUCCGGAUUCACUGGGUUUUAAAGGGUGCGUAGGUGGGUUGGUAAGUCAGUGGUGAAAUCUUCGAGCUUAACUCGGAAACUGCCAUUGAUACUAUCAGUCUUGAAUAUUGUGGAGGUUAGCGGAAUAUGUCAUGUAGCGGUGAAAUGCUUAGAUAUGACAUAGAACACCAAUUGCGAAGGCAGCUGGCUACACA